rnacentral:lncRNA from 1 species
AGCCAGGUAUGGUGGUGCACGCCUGUAAUCCCAGCUACUUCGGAGGCUGAAGCAAAAGAAUCAGUUGAACCUGGGAAGUGGAGGUUGCAGUGAGCUGACAUGGUGCCAUUGCACUCCAGCCUGGGUGACAGAGUGAGACUCUGUCUCAAAAAAAAAAAAAGACACUUUAAAAAAUGAAAACAAACCACCACAGACUUGAAGAAAAUACUUGCAAAUCACAUGAUACAGGAUUUGCUUCCAUGGUAGUCCGAGUGCAGUGAUAUUCACAACUAAUUGAUCAUAACCAGUUACAGAUUCCUUUGUUCCUUCUCCACUCUUACUGCUUCACUUGACUAGCCUUUUAAAAAAAGGAUUUGCACCCAGAAUAUAUAAACAACUCUCAAAUGCAAUAAGAAGAAGAUAAACAGCCCAGUUUUGAAAACUGGGCAAAUCAUUUCAACAGAUAUUUCACCAAAGAAGAUACAUAGGAG